UUCGUUUUUCUCCGUUUCGUUAAGCCCAAUGUCAAAACAAAGCCGAUAUUCGUGAUCAGCGUUCAAUUUUAAAUCGAAAUAAUGUAUUUUUAACUAAAUUAAGCAAGGAUUACGAAAAUUGAUAUCUUUUACACGUGAACCUUAUGGCAUUUGAAUUAUUAGAACUGAAAGUUGCUACAGACCUUACUCUAGCCCAAUGUAGAAAAUUGAAUAUCGUACCAAUAGGUGGCUAUAGUGUUUGGGGGACCGUCUGCAGUAGAAAUUCCUGAUACAAAGUUGCUACUGAUUUUUUAUUCGACGCUUUAAUACUGUUAAAUACUAGUACUUGGUGCUAACAUACAAUUUGACGUAAAAAUGUUGGGGAUAUGUUUUAGGGCACUUUUCCGCUAUUACAGUCAUUCGUAUCAUUUUCGCAGCCCGACUAAGUCGGACUUAUUUUGCUAUUACCCAAACAAAUAGUAAACUAUAGAGUGAAUUGUUUAUUUUAAAAAGCAAGUGAAAUGGAGUUACGGAUGAGAUUAGAGAAGAGCAAAGUUUACUUGCGGAUCUGAUGUUGCUGUUUUUAUAGCUUUUCUACCACUUUCCUAGAAAUGUCGGAAGAUUACACAGGCAAGCAAAGCCUAUUAAUGGAGAGGCAAUGCAACAUCAACCUAAGACGCACACCUCCAGAAUACCGAAGAGUUCUAUUGUGUUUGAACACACUACUUCAGUGAAUUUAAUACUAUGGAAAACACCACCGACAGAUCUUUGGUCAAACUUUUUCAAAAUUGUAAGUUUUGACUUUGCCCGUCGCCUUGCCCGGUCUCCCGUCUUCACUUCGCCCGUCUUCACCUCGCCCGUGUUCACCUCGCCCAUCACUCCGUCAUCGCACCGUGGUUGCGCCGUCUUCGCAUCGUGGUCGUCACGUUUUCGCUUCGCCCGUCGCCCCCGGCUUCACCACGUGGUCGCCCCGUCUUUGUCUCGCCCGUCCCCCCGUCUUCGCCUUGUCCUUCUUCACGUCUUCCCUGCCGCGCUAUCAUCGCCGCAUCCGUCGCCCCGUCUUCGCCUCCCCCAUCGCCCCGU